UUUUUUUGUAAGAAAACAAUGACGACUAUGAUUUUAGUAAACAGAACUAACCACUUUAAAUUUGAAUUUCCACUCAAACAAAAGUUUAUACAGGAAAGGCUUGCUUAGGAAACUUAUAUCUGAGUAUCCAACACAUAUGCAUUUAUAUAUAAGUUCCAUGAAAAUUGAUUAAAAAAAAAAAACAAAAAAUAAAAGAACUUCCCGCCUAGGGAGGAAAAAAAUUCCCUCCUCCCGCCUAUGCAUUUAUACAUACCUAAUAAGGAGUCUUAAUUAUCUCACAAAAGAAGGGAAAAAAUCCUUAUUUCUCCUUAUGUUUUAUUUAGUCAUUAAAAAGAAUAAAACUUCCUUUGCUACGCACUUGUUUCUCAAACCCUAAAAGCACAUCUUUCUUCCUCCUCUCUCACUACGGCAAUGAAGAAUUGAAAAGUUGAGAAGCUUCUUGAUUGAUUGGGUGACGAUUAAAGAGUGAAGUGAAGUCGGAUUCGUUGUUGAUUUGUUCUUUCAGUGCGGUGCAGCAAGCAAAAGCAAAAUUAGGACAAUAUUGCAAUAGAUUCAAGUACACACCAUGAUGAAGAUGGUACUGAUGAAGAUGUUGCUGAUGAAUAUGAUGCAAACUCUAAUGAGGACUUUUAUUAGAUAUAUUGUUAGCUUCCUUGCUUAAGAAUGAUUAUAUUAGAAAGACCAAAUAUUGAAUAUUUAUCUUUAUCUGAACAUGUAUGAAUGAUUAACUAUGUUCUUCUAAUGCAAUUUUUUUAUGAAGAUUUAAUUGUCUC